GCAAUAAAGAACCUUUGCGUGAACCGGGCUCGCACAGCUUUGUCCAGUGCUUUAUUUUUCAUUCUGUAUAUUCCAACAGGAUGUUUAUGGAAACUUGGCUGGUUUGUGGAAGAAAGCAAAGCUCUCCUGAAGGAAUUAGGCAGGAACUCUUGCAGGUUUUUUUUUUUUUUCUUGUAGUAUUUAUGUCUGUCAAGCUACUUUAGCACACAUGGAGCUUCUUAAAACUCAUUGACAGAGGUAAGUUAUGGAAUUGUUCCCCAGACAGAGAAAAAAACUGUCAGAGCAGAAUUAUCUGAUGAAGUGGUUUAAGGGUUGGCUUUAAAACAUUAAAGCUGACAACACUUUACCUUGUUCCUGUCUCCAGACAAAUUUAAAAGGAAAAAAAAAAUCAAGAAAAACAGCAAGAAUAAUUACAUCUAAUUAAUUAUGUCUAAUAAUUACAUCACUGCACAGUGCUGUCUUACAGGGUGAGAAACAUUCCUGUAGGUCUGUGCUCCAUCUCAUACCAACCUUUAAAAAAUAUUUAAACCACCAUGUGCUCUUUGGACUGCAAACAAAAAGCUGAUAAAUUUAAACUGUUCUCUAAAUUUCACACAGCUAAACGUGGGCACCCAUUUUUUCCUUUUGCAGGCCCGCGAGGCUGAGUCCCACACAGGUCACUCAGUAAGAAUUUUUAGUAUAUGGGUGAGUGUUCACUUAGCUUUGAGCUGAAAUAGUCUAAAAAGCAAUCGUGAGAAGUUAACAUAAAAGCAAUUAAAAAGUGCACAAGGAAGAAAAUUGCUGGGGAUGGAUCUCUUCCUGAGCUGGGGCAAAUGCUUUGGCUACUCCAGCAGCAUCACCUGAUGGAGGUGUUGCCUUUGGAUGCUGAGUGCUCGGUGUCACACAAGGCCACAUUGCCCAGGUGUGACAGCUUAAACUGAAUAAAAGUUUACUAGGCAUAAAAUAUGGUGGCCUU
rnacentral:lncRNA from 1 species